CCCAUUCUAUGGCCCAACAAGCCAUCCAACCUUCUCCAUCUCCGCCUCCUCCCAGAAGCGCCGUCAGUCGCCACGCCCUCGCUCCCCCCGAAGCGCCGCCACGCCCACCUCGAUCUCCGCUGCCACCUCCCACCCCUACCACCGCGGUAGUCCUACGCCCCCUGUACCCCGACCGCCGGCGCUCCUCCCAUCCCGAUCUUCGCCGAUGGUCCUGCGUCCUCACCACCUGACCUCCGGAGAAGCUCCUCCGACCCACCUCCCUCCCCGACCUCCGCUGCGCUCCCGCGCUCUUCGCCAUGGUCAUGCCCCCAUCCAUGCCGGUAGUGCAUGCUGGAUUAGGAGGUUGUACACGUACGUCUAUAUUUAUGUUCAAGUCGAGCUUCGUGAAUCAUGUAUGAUCAAGAACCUAUUGCCAUCAAUUCAAUCUCACAUGCAUGUGCUAGAUGCGGGAAGAAAUACUUCUCUUUUAAUUUGUAUAUGGAUGUGCGUAUUUAAUUUGUAUAUGGCUGUGCAUACGUAUGUAUGUACUGGCACAUCUUGCCGGAACCUGAUUGGGAAGUCAGAUUCGCUAAAUCUACGCGCCCGCGUCUUCGUGCCAUGUUAGUCGCAACUCACGGCCUGUAUCAACAACACCAAUUAUAUUUCUUCUCUUUUUAUUAUAACUAAUGUCAUCAAAUCUGAUAGUCGUCUACAGAGGUUUUCCCUGUGGAUACUGGGAUGCAUGGCACCAUUUUGCAGAUACUUGGAGUAUAUAUCUAGCAUAUCAAGCCACCAAAGACAAGUAAUACUUCGUUGAAACAAUAACAACAAUAUCUUCGUUUUAUCCAGAUGACAUCGUCCAUGUCUACUGAUGUGGUUGGCACUCACCACAGGUACUCUCUCCCCCAUAGAUGUACUAUUUUAUCUCUCUAGCUGUUUAUUAAAAAAAUUGGUCAUGUAUAGCAUUCAUGCCUUCUGGGGUAUAUAGAAGUCGAAGUGCCUAUGCGGGCUGCAAAAAUAGAGGGCGUCCCAACUCGGAUUUUGUGUCCUGCUCGAUCACGUCAGUAAUGGGCGUCGGACAUGGACUACACAUGGAACACUCUCUUUGCCACAUAAACGAUGGCCUCAAGCCCCUAUGUGGCAGUAUCUUUUCUCGCCGUUCUACCAUUUUCUCUAGAACAACGAUCUACAAGUUUGACGGAACACCGACCGCUAGUGCUCCACCUGAGGUACACCAUUGUACAAUCCACAUGCCAAACCAUGAGUAAAGUAGCAAGCUAUUAUGUUUCAAAAUUUAUUUGGAAGAGCAUUGUGUUUUGGGUUUUAUACUUAACCAUGAUCUUUUACUGUGUGCCCGCAACCAUAGCUUCUAUGGUAAUUAACUUGCCAUAUACAGAUAGUCUGCAGAGUUUACAAACAAGAUGAAACCAAUAAUGAUGAGUGACGAUUAUGGUAUGAUUGCCGGAUUAAUAAUUCAGAGCAAGAAAGCUAUUUUACUGGAAAAGCUGCGCUCCUGCGCUCUUCACCAUGGUCACACCCCCAUCCAUGCCGCUCUUUUCCCUGAACACCCAUGAGAGCGCCGCCACACUACGAUAGGAGCAAGUCGAGGUGCCUAUGCAGGCUGCAAAAAUGGAGGGCAUCACCGACUCGGAUGUUGUGUCCUGCUCAAGCACGUCAUUAAUGUGUGUUGGACAUGGACUCCACAUGGAAUGCUCUCGUUGCCACAUCAAAGAUGGCCUCAAGCCCCUAUACGGAAGUGUCCAGUCUUGCCGUUCUACCAUUUUCUCUAGAACAACGAUGUACAACUUCGACGGAACACGGAUCGUCAAUGCUCCACCUGAGAAUAAACUUCUCACGAGAAAUUACUUCUGGUGUUGCAAUGUAGCUAGAUUGGAGAGAAACAUGAUAGCAUCUUAAUAAUCUAGUAAGAGAUCGUAAACCAGUUUUUUAUCGGGGCCAGUUUUCGGCUGGAAGGAAGAAACUCCACUCGCUGGGAGGACUUGGUGGUAAUUUGCAAGGUCGUGCAGCAUUUUUCAUGUAAUUGGUAGCGAUCUAAGUCACAUGUUAUUAGAGUGGAUGUUACUACAACAUUUCCGUAUAAACGAAUGCCACUGAUCUUUGCAUAUAUAUUGAACUCCCUUUGUAAAUAAAUAUAAGAAGUUUUAAUAUGUUUCUACUACUAUAUGUUUUUCUCGAAAUUAUGACAAGAGAUCGAUUAGCUUC